CACACACACACACACACACACACACACACACACACACGUUUACCCUACCAACAGGGGACUAUCGGUUUUCAUCGACCAAGUGUGGACCUCUAUUUCUGGUCAUUUAAAAAAU